rnacentral:rRNA from 1 species
CCGCGAAUAGCUCAUUACAAUAGCCGUUGUUUCUUGGAUCCUCAAUUUACUUGGAUACCUGUGGUAAUUCUAGAGCUAAUACAUGCGACUAAGGGCCGAACUCACGUGACGCUUGCAUUUAUUAGAUCAAGACUAACCGGCUUCGGCCGUUAACUUGGUGACUCUGAAUAACUCAGCUGAUCGCACGGUCUAGUGCCGGCGACAUAUCUUUCAAGUGUCUACCUUAUCAACUGUCGAUGGUAGUUUAUGUGACUACCAUGGUUGUAACGGGUAACGGAGAAUCAGGGUUUGACUCCGGAGAGGGAGCCUGAGAAACGGCUACCACUUCUAAGGAAGGCAGCAGGCGCGCAAAUUACACAAUCUCAGCACGAGGAUGUAGUGACGAAACAUACCGAGGCGAUGCCCUUUCGGGUGUCGUCAUUGGAAUGAGUCGAAUCUAAAAAAUUCGGCAAGGAUCUAGUGGAGGGCAAGUCUGGUGCCAGCAGCCGCGGUAAUUCCAGCUCCGCAAGUGUAUAUCUAUGCUGUUGCGGUUAAAAAGCUCGUAGUUUGAUUCGCGUACUUAGCACGCAGUGUGGCCUUUCGGCUACUACUGUGAUGCGGUACAUUAUCGUCAGUUUGUCGUUGAUGCUCUUCAUUGGGUGUCAGCGGCGGCUGUCAAGUUUACUUUGAACAAAUUAAAGUGCUCAAUACAGGCGUUUCGCUUGUAUAGUUCUGCAUGGAAUAAUAGAAUAGGACUUACGUUCUAUUGUGUUGGUUUUCAGAACGAAAGUAAUGAUUAAGAGGGACAGACGGGGUCAUUCGUACUGCCACGUUAGAGGUGAAAUUCUUGGAUCGUGGCAAGACGAACUACUGCGAAAGCAUUUGACAAGAAUGUUUUCAUUAAUCAAGAACGAAAGUUAUGGG